rnacentral:rRNA from 1 species
UACGGAGGGGGCUAGCGUUGUUCGGAAUUACUGGGCGUAAAGCGCACGUAGGCGGCGAUCUAAGUCAGAGGUGAAAGCCCGGGGCUCAACCCCCGGAAUAGCCUUUGAGACUGGAUUGCUAGAAUCUUGGAGAGGCGGGUGGAAUUCCGAGUGUAGGAGGUGAAAUUCGUAGAUAUUCGGAAGAACACCAGUGGCGAAGGCGGCGAUCUGGGUCGAUACUGACGCUGAGGUGCGAAAGCGUGGGGAGCAAACAGG